CCACGGGCGGCACCAGUAAGGAAUAUUGCGCAAUGGAGGCAACUCUGACGCAGCCAUGCCGCGUGCAGGAAGAAGGCCUUAUGGGUCGUAAACUGCUUUUAUUUAGGAAUAAACCCCCGAACGUGUUCGGGGCUGAAGGUACUAAACGAAUAAGCACCGGCUAACUCCGUGCCAGCAGCCGCGGUAAUACGGAGGGUGCAAGCGUUAUCCGGAUUUAUUGGGUUUAAAGGGUGCGCAGGCGGGCUAUUAAGUCAGUGGUGAAAUCCCGGGGCUCAACUCCGGAACUGCCAUUGAUACUGAUAGUCUUGAGUUUGGUUGAAGUGGGCGGAAUGUAGCAUGUAGCGGUGAAAUGCAUAGAUAUGCUACAGAACACCAAUCGCGAAGGCAGCUCACUAAGCCAAAACUGACGCUCAUGCACGAAAGCGUGGGGAUCAAACAGGAUUAGAUACCCUCGUAGUC
rnacentral:rRNA from 1 species